rfam:Aspergillus parasiticus ST-1 132, whole genome shotgun sequence.
AGCAUGUUAACUCAGGGGAAGAGUGCCGGGCUCAUAACCCGGAAGCCGCUGGAUCGAAACCAGCACAUGCUA